UUGAACGCUGGCGGAAUGCUUUACACAUGCAAGUGGAGCGGCAGCGCGGGGGCAACCCUGGCGGCGAGCGGCGAACGGGUGAGUAACAUAUUGGAACGUACCCUGUCGUGGGGGAUAACACAGCGAAAGCUGUGCUAAUACCGCAUACGACCUGAGGGUGAAAGCGGGGGAUCGCAAGACCUCGCGCGAUAGGAGCGGCCGAUAUCGGAUUAGCUUGUUGGUGAGGUAAAGGCUCACCAAGGCGACGAUCCGUAGCUGGUCUGAGAGGACGACCAGCCACACUUGAACUGAGACACGGUCCAGACUCCUACGGGAGGCAGCAGUGGGGAAUUUUGGACAAUGGGCGCAACCCUGAUCCAGCCAUUCCGCGUGAGUGAAGAAGGCCUUCGGGUUGUAAAGCUCUUUCAGCAGGGACGAAACGGUGGCUCCUAAUACUAGCUACUAAUGACGGUACCUGAAGAAGAAGCACCGGCUAACUACGU
rnacentral:rRNA from 1 species